GACAGAGGUGCCAAGCGUUAGGCGGAAUCACUGGGCUUAAAGCGUGUGUAGGCGGUAUGGUAAGUACCUUGUGAAAUCCCACGGCUCAACCGUGGAACUGCUCGGUAUACUGCUUUUCUUGAGCCACUUAGGGGCUGUCGGAACAAACGGUGGAGCGGUGAAAUGCGUAGAUAUCAGGAAGAACACCGGUGGCGAAGGCGGCUCGCUGGGCCAGUUCUGACACUCAUCCGCGAAAGCGUGGGGAGCAAACAGG
rnacentral:rRNA from 1 species